rnacentral:rRNA from 1 species
UCCUCCCUCUGUCGGCGUGCUUAACACAUGCAAGUCGAACGGAAAGGCCCUGCUUUUGUGGGGUGCUCGAGUGGCGAACGGGUGAGUAACACGUGAGUAACCUGCCCUUGACUUUGGGAUAACUUCAGGAAACUGGGGCUAAUACCGGAUAGGAGCUCCUGCUGCAUGGUGGGGGUUGGAAAGUUUCGGCGGUUGGGGAUGGACUCGCGGCUUAUCAGCUUGUUGGUGGGGUAGUGGCUUACCAAGGCUUUGACGGGUAGCCGGCCUGAGAGGGUGACCGGCAAAAUUGGGCCUGAGAUACGGCCCAGACUCUUACGGGAGGCAGCAGUGGGGAAUAUGGCACAAGGGGCGGAAGCCUGAGGCAGAAACGCGGCGUGCGGGAUGACGGCCUUCGGGUUGUAAACCGCUUUCGCCUGGGACGAAGCGUGAGGGAGGGUAAUGGGUAAAGAAGCACGGGCUAACUAAGG